rnacentral:miRNA from 1 species
UGACCUGAUCAUGCUUACUGAGC